rnacentral:rRNA from 1 species
UACGAAGGGGGGCUAGCGUUGCUCGGAAUCACUGGGCGUAAAGGGUGCGUAGGCGGUUUGGUAAGUCUUAUGUGAAAUCUACAGGCUCAACUUGUAGUCUGCAUGAGAAACUGCCGGGCUUGAGUAUGGGAGAGGUGAGUGGAAUUCCUGGUGUAGCGGUGAAAUGCGUAGAUAUCAGGAGGAACACCUGUGGCGAAAGCGGCGCACUGGACCACAACUGACGCUGAGGCGCGAAAGCUAGGGGAGCAAACAGG